rnacentral:rRNA from 1 species
GAUGAACGCUGGCGGCGUGCCUAAUACAUGCAAGUCGAGCGAACGGACGAGAAGCUUGCUUCUCUGAUGUUAGCGGCGGACGGGUGAGUAACACGUGGAUAACCUACCUAUAAGACUGGGAUAACUUCGGGAAACCGGAGCUAAUACCGGAUAAUAUUUUGAACCGCAUGGUUCAAAAGUAAAAGACGGUCUUGCUGUCACUUAUAGAUGGAUCCGCGCUGCAUUAGCUAGUUGGUAAGGUAACGGCUUACCAAGGCAGCGAUGCAUAGCCGACCUGAGAGGGUGAUCGGCCACACUGGAACUGAGACACGGUCCAGACUCCUACGGGAGGCAGCAGUAGGGAAUCUUCCGCAAAGGGCGAAAGCCUGACGGAGCAACGCCGCGUGAGUGAUGAAGGUCUUCGGAUCGUAAAACUCUGUUAUUAGGGAAGAACAUAUGUGUAAGUAACUGUGCACAUCUUGACGGUACCUAAUCAGAAAGCCACGGCUAACUACGUG